GAUGAACGCUGGCGGCGUGCCUAAUACAUGCAAGUCGAGCGAACAGACGAGGAGCUUGCUCCUCUGACGUUAGCGGCGGACGGGUGAGUAACACGUGGAUAACCUACCUGUAAGACUGGGAUAACUUCGGGAAACCGGAGCUAGUACCGGAUAAUAUAUUGAACCGCAUGGUUCAAUAGUGAAAGACGGUUUUGCUGUCACUUAUAGAUGGAUCCGCGCCGCAUUAGCUAGUUGGUAAGGUAACGGCUUACCAAGGCAACGAUGCGUAGCCGACCUGAGAGGGUGAUCGGCCACACUGGAACUGAGACACGGUCCAGACUCCUACGGGAGGCAGCAGUAGGGAAUCUUCCGCAAUGGGCGAAAGCCUGACGGAGCAACGCCGCGUGAGUGAUGAAGGUCUUCGGAUCGUAAAACUCUGUUAUUAGGGAAGAACAAAUGUGUAAGUAACUAUGCACGUCUUGACGGUACCUAAUCAGAAAGCCACGGCUAACUACGUG
rnacentral:rRNA from 1 species